CAGGGAGCCCUGUCGCUCCCUGUGGAGACCAUGCAUUCUCUUCAUCCAUAUUAAAAGGAACCAGUUAAUGUGAGCAGCCAGCCUUAGAGUAAGUGGAAGUGAGUUAUAAGUGCCUGCGAGAGAGACAGAGCAUAAGCCAUGUUGCUAGCCUCUGAGAACCCAAGCUUCUGUCAUUCUAGAACACAAAGCUAAAUGACAGGCAGUUGAAAAGUAAAUGGACACACAGGCUUCUGAUACAGGCAUGGGGCAGGGAGGUAGGUGAAGGUAAGCCCAAUCAAGGAAUGACCUCUUGGGCCCCCAGUUUGAGAACUGCCCCAAUUCUUCAUCUGUCACAUGAAACUGGAACUGCUGGUCAAGAGAGAGCCUCAGGCAAAUCACUGAGUUCUUGCCCCAAUGGGGACAAGCCCAGAGCAGGAAGUUUCCAGUAAUCGAAGUGACAAGACAUUUUGGGAAUUUCAGGUGGAUUGCAUUUGGUUUCCAAACAACUGGUCCAGCCCAGCCUUAGGCUUCUUCACUUCCUGAAGGUUCUCUGAUAUCCAGAAAGAUGUCCUAUCAGCAGCAGCAGCAAUAGUGCAAGCAGCCCUGCCAACGACCUCUUGUGCUCCCACCUCCCAAGUGCCCAGCGCCAUGCCCACCGCCGAAGUGCCCAGUGCCAUGCCCACCUCCAAAGUUUCCACCUCAACUCUGCCAGCAGCAGUGUCCCCCUGUGCAGCCACCACCGUGCCAGCAGAAGUGACCACCCAGAAGCAGUAAGAGCAAAAGCCAUCAAGACCAUCGUGCAAACAAAUCACAGGUCUCCCCCAUGCUCCAGCAGCACAUCUUCUCUCCGAAGCCUGCCCUGGUGGCAGAUGGCAUUCUCUGAAUCUCUACUCUGCUCUUCCUGGGCUGAGGUUUGCCAUAGAAGAGACUUAAUCCUGAAGUUGUUCUCUUUCCUCUUAGGGUCAGGCUCCUCUCUGAAUUAGGACCACUCUCCCCCAGAGCCCCAGGAAAAGCAUCAGGAACAAGUCUACCUUUCUUAAAAUACAGCCUUUCUUCGAUCUGUGCCUAAGA